CACUUCCCCGAGAGCUCCCCUUCUUGGAGUGCACUGAGCUGAAGCUUGCCUGGAUGCCUUUGAAGAGGGCAUUUUUUGCAUUUGUUGGACAGCCAAAGGACCAGAAACCCUGAAUCGACUGUCCUGUCUGGAGCAGAAUCUGCAGAGAGGAAUACACUGGACUGCUGGAGAGUAUUUCAGGUUUUGGAAUGCAUGCCCAUGCUGCCUAGAUUCUCAAAGAGGCAACAACAAAAUAUAGUAAUUGAAAAACAGACAAGAUACCAUACUCUCAAUAUAGACCUUAAGAAAAAGCCUACAAGCGGAUGAGUUUGUGGCUGUUAAUGUUUUUGACUCUAUACACACAUAACAGAGAACAUAUAUAUAUCCUGAAGAGAUGGAUGGCACUAAUCCAAGUUGGCUUAAUCAUACUAGGAUUGUACAAGCCUAUGAAAUGUGUUUGGCUUUGGAUCAGGACAGUUCUAGAGAAUGUAGUGGAGUUCUUUCGCAGGACUUCCAAGUUUUGUAUCCCUUAGGUUGGAUGAAAUAAACUCAUUAAAAACCCUCAGAAGACUACUUGGAAAAGAUAUGUAUUUUCGGUGAAGCUACAAGCAGGAACCUACCACUGGCCUGAUAAGAUAUCAAAACUUUUAAACUGUUGGAGUGCCUCAUCCCCAGAAGGAGAAGGGCCAUUUUCUGGUGCAAUUUUUACUUUCAGUUUCACUGGUUCUCUGUGGAUUGUCAGUUCCAUCCACACACCAGAAUGUCUUCUCAGGUUGGAGUUGGGAAUUCCUGCUGUCAAGCCCAGCUGAGAAGGCUGGGACUGAGCCUUAAGUUGCUGUUACUAGUAAAGAUCCAAGAACUGUAGUCCCAGAGAUGAGGUCUUGUGCUCUUGAUUGCUGAGGCUGGAUCCUUCCCCUCCCAAAGAGGUGACAAAUACAAUCCCAGUAUUAAGGACAGCAUAAAUAGACUUAAAUCCAGGAUCUACCUCUUCUCUGGCCCACAAAACCUUGAACAAAAAUGAUUUAAUGGCUUGCCUUCAUCAUAGCUCUGUGGUCAGCCACUGACAGAUGUAAGCUAGAGGUGUCUCAAGACUGUUUAAUUUAUAAUUGAUCUGAUAAUUGUCUCUGUGAUAGUUAAGAAGUCAGCACUGAUGAUUAAGUAGCCACUUUCAUGCAGUAAUUUGUGUAUAAAGAAUUCUCAACUUUUAUUUCCAGGUUGCAGUUUCUAUGCCAAAGGGUAGCUGAUUGAGUACAAGAUUUCUGAAACAGAGAGCUUUAUAUAAAUUUGGAUACAGGAGCAAGGUUUGAAGACCAUGUGUUAUGUUUGUGAUGUAACAUGUAAUAUGUUAUGACCACUACCUGUCAUUGCCAGUUCUUCAAAGUUUUGCAUUAGAAAGUUGCAUUCAACAAAUGUUUGAUAGCAUGGUGUUUUUAUAAGAAAUCUUGUCAUCUUUAAAAUUAAACAAGGAUCAGAUGUAGGGGAGAAGCAUGAUUAUUUCCAAACAACACAAAUCAUCAGCAAUUUCAAAGUACUUUAAAAUAUGUGGUUUUGUCUUUAAUUGUGCUGUUGCUGUGCUUGCUCAUGAGUUGUGGGUGAUAACAUGUGAUUAUCAUCUGCCUACUUGAUCACAUGCACAUUUGUGAUGCUUGCAAGAAAAAACAUUAUCUGGCUGGUAACUGUCAUAUUAUGCAGAGUUUAAGAGACUGUUUCCCAGACAACAGCAUAGUCAUUUUGCAUCCAUGAAGUGUACACCAUCAUGUAUCUGCACGUAAGUCAAACACCCGGUGGCAGCUGCUGCUGCCACUAAUGACAUGGAAAAGAUGGAACUGUUUAUAUAGCCAUAAUCAAACUCCCUGAACUAUGGAAGUCAAGGAAAUUGAAUAAUUUAAAAAAAAAAAAAAAAGUAAAAAUUCAUGGUUCUAACAAGUCAUACAGCACAUACCUUGUUACAAAUUUUGAGUCAGUUUUGAAAUUGAAACCAAAUCAUUCACUAGCCAAAAGCCAUUUAAGGGCCAUGUACUACCUGUUUAACACCUCUGCUGCAAAACAUAAAUACAAGUGCACCUGUAUAAUAUGGUAUAUCAUUUCACUAUGGCAAUUUGAAUAUGUUAAACCAAAACACCACAGAUAGCAGGUGGAAGACCUAACCUUAAAGGUAGCCAGUAUGCUAAUGAUGAGGCAAUGAGAUGGCCAGGUGAGUGUGAUCGCAUGUACAUUUAUUUUUUACAUUUUGUAUAUUGUCAGAUGGGGGAGAAAGCUAGUAAGAAAAAGAAUUAUUUGCAUUCAAAUUAUAUAAACAGUAUUAGAGCCUAGUUAGUGUAGACAAUAUGUUUCACAGCUGCAGUAGAUAUAUCACAUGCUUGAUAAGGAAGGUAUUUGGCCACUUUUGCAUAUGAGACAACAGUACUCUGAAGGUGUGCAGCUUUAAGCCUCUUAGAACCUUUUAUGGCAGAACAAUAAAAUAAAAGGGAUCUGAAAAUCAAA